UUCCUCGUUCACACGUGUUUCCGGCGGAAGGGGAGGAGCUUUUCAAAAGGUGGACAGAUGAGCUAAAUGGAAGAACUGAGAGUGUUUGUGUCCGCACGGCUCCACGCUGCUGCUUCUGAAAUAUUCGGUGCUUUUGAAAAAGCAGUAACGGAUUAUGAGGAGCAGGCUACCCGUCUGAAGGAAGACAACGACCGGAACCGGUCUCUGCUGGACGUCAUCCUCAAAGCCAAAGCACCGCAGAGAAAAGCAGCUCAGCCAACCAAAAGUACCCCCCUACUACUACUACUACUGCUGCUGCUGCUGCUGCUGCUGCUGCUGCUGCUGCUGCUGUUCCAGGUGCAUCAGAUUCAAGUCCUGCCCGAAAGGCCAGAGACCCCCUUCGCAGUUCUAGUGACUUGCAGUGUUCCUUCACCUCACGCACCGACUUUCUAAAUUCUGCGGCCCAUGGCGACUGUCCCUACUGCUUGAAGAAAAUUCAAGCCACUGAGACACAUUUGACGAGAAAACAUUUUCUAUCUGCUGUCCAUUUCACCGAGGGUGGCACUGGUAAAUUUGUUGUACCAUGUACGUGCAAAGACUUGAUCCAGGGCAGAAGUCACUGGCACUGCCCAUAUUGCACAAAGAUCAUUUAUCGAAAAUGUAACUUUGAGGUGCACAUUUCUAAACAACAUGGUCAUGCAAUACUGCAGCAAAGCCAAGACACGGAGAUUGAUCAACCCUCUGCCUCUGCCAUUGAAGUGAAGGUUCCCCUGAGUCCUGAACCCAGGUGUCAGCAGGAGUUUGGCAGUCCGGACGAGGAGGACCAACAGGCCUCACUGCUGCUUCAAAUUAAAGAAGAAGAACAAGAAAUGUGCAGAAGAGUGAGUCAUCCUGAGAGGCAGAACUCAGUGCAACCGCAGAUUAAAGGCGAGCAAAUACAAGAAGUUGACAGUCAAAUGAGUGUGGAGGAACAUCACGCUCAAGACUCUGAAUUCAACAUCGUCUGUGCAGACGGUUACAUUCAAGACCAAAGCGAAAUUAACAGUGUGGAAAGCAGCAAGGGCCAUCUGCUUCCUAAUUCUUCAAAUCAACCUUUGGAAACGCUGCCUGAUAGUGGGGUUGGUGGAAUAUGGCAGUCAGCUGGGGAAUCUCAGCACACAACACCUCGUUGUAGUUUAAAGGAACUUGGUAUCAAGAGGAAAGUGUGCCUGAAAAGAAAAACAUCUUUACCCACCUUGGGUUUAAAUAAAAAGACAUCAACUCAAUCUGUCAGUCAGAAUCCUACCGGCCCUCAUUGUUGUAAAGCAUGUGGAAAGACUUUCUAUUACAUGUACACACUGAGGACACACGUGCUAACACACACAGGGGAUAAAAUCCAUAUUUGUGGAAUCUGUGGAAAACAUUUAGAGUCUACGGAUAGUUUUGUGCAGCACAUUCAAAGCCACACAAAGACGAACAAAUGUGGUAUAUGUGGCAAACAAUUUUCUAAUAAAUCCCGUCUGAGACGGCAUAGGAGAUUUCACAGACCAAAGGGUCUAAAUGUCAAGUCAUCAACUUCAAAACCACAAAUGAGCGAAAUCCUACAGGUGUCAUAAAUGCAUCAAAACGUGCUGUGAUUAUUGGAUUCUUACUACUGGAUUUCUACUGAGUAAAAUAUACCAGUCCAGUAGUGUACUUAUGGGAGGAAUAAUUCAUGUCCUAGAGCUGGGAAGUAUGUUACUGUCUAUUGUAUAUCACUGUAUUCCUACAGUAUUUUGUAGACUCAAAUAAAGAAAAUCUUUGAAGUUAGAUUUCUUCCGUGUAUAUUUUUUUUCAUUAAUCAUCAGUUUG